CCUUCCAUAUUAGGCAGUAUUUCCCUGAAAGGAAAACGUCUGCACUUCAACUCCUCUGGAUGGUUCCCCCAGCCGUCUGCCUUCUGGACCAAUGAGAAUGAUCUGACUGUGACUGAGCGCAGUCAGACUAACAUCACCCAGGGAGAGGAUGAACUGUACAGCAUCAGCACUGUCCUUGAGCCAGCAUCGAGCUGGAAGUCACGCAAUCUCCACCUGUGCUACACCAACCCCGACACUGGAGAGAAACAAACUGACGUCUACCACAUAGCAGCAAAGAGCUCAGGUUCAGCUCAAGGCCUGUUUCUCAUUCACAUUGCAGCGAUAGUAAUCUCAGGAUUUUU